UGCUCAUAUUUAUUUCAAAUUUCUAUCCACACUAUUGGUUUGCAUCAUUGAGUUAAAUCAAAUGCGAUAUUCCCUUAAUUAUCAGGCAUUUUUGCAAGUUCGAUCUGUGAUUGUUGGUGGUAAUGAUUACAAUACAGGGAGUGCUUAUGCAAUGGAAAAAUUGUCAGCUAGGCUCCCAACCUAUGUUGCAGGGAAACGGGUAUCUAUGUCAAAUUCAGACAUGGGUAUGGGGCAUCGUAUUCCUCAUGCCAUGAAAAAGAGGAAUCGGUGCCUUGGUUAUAGUAUGAGAACCAAAUCCAACAAUAUUCUGCUACUGUCCCAUUUCAUGAUCAGUAGCAAGAUAAAAACCAAUAAUACGUUAGUUCACAGAAUCCAUAUAUACUUUUCACAGGUCAUGUGCCUACUCAUAAACAAAAAAUACGAUCAGGACUCUAGGAUGAUGUAACAAAUGAUUGGUACACCACAAGAAGAAGCCAAGAGAAUCUCUGUUGGCAUAUGUGUCAAUAGGUGUCCAACACGAGUACAGCAUCCACACAAAGUAAUUCAUUGCUCUAUCAUAUUAACUGCCUCCUGCGUGAUGGCUUAAGGUUGUCCAACCAACCCUUGCUAACUACCACUUCACAGCCCCCAUGUGGAACCCCUUCACAAUAUUCUGCUACUGUCCCAUUUCAUGAUCAGUAACAAGAUAAAAACCAAUAAUACGUUAGUUCACAGAAUCCAUAUAUACUUUUCAUAGGUCAUGUGCCUACUCAUAAACAAAAAAUACUAUCAGGACUCUAGGAUGAUGUAACAAAUGAUUGGUAAACCACAAGAAGAAUCCAAGAGAAUCUCUGUUGGCAUAUGUGUCAAUAGGUGUCCAACACGAGUGCCGCAUCCACACAAAGUAAUUCAUUGCUCUAUCAUUAAUAACUGCCUCCUGCGUGAUGGCUUAAGGUUGUCCAACCAACCCUUGCUAACUACCACUUCACAGCCCCUAUGUGGGACUCCUGCAAUUCCUGCCUGUUGCUUUUCAUCCCUUAAUCUUAGUUUGCUCCUCCACCUUCUUUCCAUUCAUAAUUCCUCUAAUUCAAUCACAUGCUCGUGUCAUAGAUAUCCCCAAAUUCUCGACAAGACCUUCUUGCCUGUUGCCCAAGUGUCCCUUUCCUCAAAUUUUAAUCCGGCCAGGUUCCUAAUUGCCAUUAGAGAGUAGAUGUCACCAACAUACCUCUUUUGCAAAGUGUUAAAAAUCCUUUUUUAUCCAAGUCCUAGAAUCCAAGUGUCUAAGUCUGAUUGUAUGGGUAGUUUUGUCCAUAACAUAUUUGUAAGGCAGUUUUAUUUGUAAGACUUUCUUUUCAAUAACAUAUAAGUUAAGAGGUGCGUGAGCGUUUGUUUUGAACCUCAUGUCACUCUCCUCUCUCUCAAAUCUCUCAUAUCUCUCUCUUCAGGUCUCUCAUAUCUCUCUCUUCUCUCUCUCUUUCACAUCUCAUAUCGCUCUCUUCUUUUUCUCUGUUCUCUCUCUAGAUGUUUUGACAUGGUAUCACAGCUGAUCUAAACUUUUCUUUAUCUUCCUCGUACUUCCCGUUUCCUUUCAUCUUCCCCUUUUGUUUCAUCUUCCCUAGUCUUUCCCUUUUCUUUCUUCUCCUUUCCUUUCCAAAAAAAAAGAAAAAAAAAGAAAAGAAAAAGGAAACUCUAAGCCUGUUGAUGCUGAUCUUGUCAAGGGGCGCCGUGGGCUGUUCUAUAUAAACCGUAGGGCUAUUUCCUAGUUUUUUUGUGUGCAGAAGACCAUGUGGAUAUGUUGUUAGUGUGGCGAUGCUGCUGCUGUGUGUGAUUUUCUUUCGAGAUCAAGAUCUAUAGAGAGGGUGGCCUAGUUUCGAUAAUGGCAGCAUAGUGAUGCUCAGAUGUGUUCAAUGUAGUGUUGCCCUAAUUCGUUCGUGUGUGAGAGCGUGGCUAGAUCUGAAUGAUAAGUAUCUUAUUCCUCUUUAAUUUGUUUCUAAAAUUGUAUAUGCUUGUGUGAGUGACUGAAAUUUACCGGUCCUGGUUGUCCUCUCUCAAAAAGAAAGUAAACCUGGAAUCCUUAGUCUUCUCGAAACCAUGGGGAUACAAGUCACCUCAGUAAAAUUAAAUGAGUCUAGUUAUGUUGCAUGGGCUCAAUCUGUCAAAGUAUCCCUUGGUGCAAGGGGAAAACUGAAAUACUUGACUGAGGAUAAGCGCAGUAAAUCUGAUAAUAAAUAUAAAGCGUGGAUGAGUGAGAAUUAUAUAAUCAUGACCUGGCUAUGGAGUAGCAUAGAAACCUAAAUAGGAGCGAAUAUCAUAUUUCUUAAUAGAACUAAACAAAUUUGGGACUUUCAAAGAAACAUAUUCAUCGGAUAAAAAUCUCUUUUAGUGCAUAUGAGUUGUUUGAGAAAAUGUUUCAAUUGCAACAGGUUAAUAAGAGUGAGUAUUAUAGUACCCUCGGGGGCAUGUGGGAAGAGCUGAAUCUAUAUCUACCUAUAUCUGGUGAUGUGGAAUUACAAAAGAGGCAGCGUGAAGAAUUUAGGGUUGCCAAAUUUUUAUUUGGCCUUGCAUGUGAGCACCAUUUGAGGUUGGGGGCUUGGUCGUGACUCAGGAAGAGGCCAAGGUAUAGGUGAUGGUUGCAGGGGUCGAGGAACUUGCAAUUGUACGCAUUGUGGGCAUACCAAUCAUAUGGUUGAUAAGUGUUAGGACAAGUUUGGUAAGCCUACUCAGGCAAACCAGUUUAUUUACACAACUGACAGUGAUGCCCUUUAUCUGAAUGGACCUAGUGAUUGCCAACAACAGUCGGAUUCUGGUAGUGACUUUGUUGUUCUUUCCCGAGAAGAACAUAGUAAACUUGUCAAACAAGUACAACAGUAUGGUUCCCUCUUCCUCUUUUACUGCCACCCCUACCAAUUAGGUAUUUCUGUGCUUCUUGCCUCUCAGAAACCCCCUCCCUGAGUUAUUGACUAAGGAGCCUUUGAUCACAUUACUGAUUUGAAGAUGAAGAGGACAGUUGGUGACGGGUAUGAGUUAGGCAACUUGUACUACUUGGAUCAUAACUUGAUUGGUGCUGCUCUUCACUUUGUUGAUUCUCCUUUCUUAUGGUUUUGUCGGCUGGGCCAUCUUUCUCUUAAUAAAUUUAAGUUUUCCUUCUUUAAAGUUUGUAUCUAUUUUAGGGUGUGAAGCUUGUCAGUUAGGAAAGAAUCACAGGGUCUCAUUUCGUCCUAGAGUUGACAAACAAAAUUUUGUUAUGUUUACAAUGCUCAUUUUGAUAUAUGGGGUCCAACUAGAGUACAAACUUUAUCUGGUCAUAGGUAUUUUGUAACGUUCGUGGAUGUUUAUUCCUAAAUGACAUUGUUAUAAUUAAUAAAAGAGGGAUAAUUAAUAAAAGAGGCAUUUGAAUUUUUCUCCAUUUUUAAUUGUUUCACAAAGAGAUCCAAACUCCAUUCAAUAAGAAUGUAUGUAUUUUACAUUCUGAUAAUGCUGAGUAUCCUUCUGGAGAAUUUUAGAAUUGUUUUACUCAAAAUGGGAUUUUACACCAAACUUCUUGUCUGUGUACUCCUCAAAAGAAUGGGGUUGUUGAAAGGAAAAAUCAACACUUGCUUGAAGUAACUUGUUCUUUGGUCAUUAAUAUGCAGGUUUCAAAGGUUUAUUAAGGAGAUGCCUUGUUGACCUCAUGCUAUUUAUUUAAUCAUAUGGCCUCUUUAGUCUUAAAUAGAAAAAGCACCACACUCGGUUCUCUUUCUUGAUGCUCAAGUGUUUAUUGUUCCUCUUCGAGUGUUUAGGUGAGUUUGCUUUGUUCAUAUGUUAGGUACUGGUAAUGAUAUAUAGGAGUCCUGGGCUGUCAAGUGUGUCUUUCUUGAGUAUUCAUGUUUCCAGAAAGGUUAUCAUUGUUAUCAUUCUGGUUUACGAAAGAAAUUUGUUUGUGCUAAAUGUUACCUUUUCUGAGAAUACUCGUCAUUUUUCAGAAGAGAGUUGUGCGCUUAAUUUAAAUACUUUUAUCGUGCUUUUGAAGAUGUCUCAUAGUCCUUGCCUUCUAUGAUUCCUCUUCUUAUUCCUGUUGACACUUCUCCGUCAUCCCAAUUACCUGACUCCACUGAAUUUAGUAUAUCUACACAUCAUGAUGUUUCUCUGGAGCAGCCCAUGAAGAUUUAUACCAGAAGAAAAAUUCAUGGACAUUCCCACCAACUCAUCAAACCACUUAAUCAUCAUCUUUAUCUACCGAUCCACUUCCUUCUUGUGAUGAUGAUGUACCUAUUGCCAUCCAUUAAGGUAUCAAGUCUUGUACUCAACAUCCGACAACCUAUUUUAUUACCUUUACAAAUUUGUCUCCAUCAUAUCAAAGUUUUGCUUUAGCCCUUUCAUCUAUUUCUGUUACAAAGACCUAUCAGGAAACACUUUCUCACACUUGGCAGAAGAGAGCAAUGAAAGAGGAGAUGGAUGCACUUCAUUCAAAUGAUACAUGAUAACUCACCAUGUCACUAGCUGGAAAAAGGACUGUUGGGUGUCGAUGGGUUUGUGGGGUCAAAUAUCAGCCUGAUGACAUGUAGAAAGAUUAAAAGCCGUAUUGGUAGCUAAGGGAUACGCACAAACAUUUGGCAUUGACUACUUUGAAACAUUUGCCCCUGUUGCUAAAGUUAAUUUAAUUCGAGUGGUUACAUCUCUUGUUGCCAACAAGGGGUGGGCGUUGUGGCAACGUGAUGUCAAGAAUGCUUUCCUCCAUGGUGAUUUACAAGAAGAGGAGUACAUGGAGCAAUCGCCUGAGUUUGUGGCAUAGGGGGACUCGGAUUAAGUACAUAAGUUGAAGAAAGCCAUUUAUGGCCUGAAACAAUCUCCACGGGCAUGGUUUAGAAAGUUCAGUGAUGGCAUAUGGAUUUCAGUGGUUAUUUGGACACAGGACUCCAAAAAAAUUGUUUUAGUUUGUCUAUGUUGAUGAUAUUGCUGCUGGCAGCGAUGAAGAAGGAAUUAGCCAUUUGGAGAGAUAUCUAAAAAAAUUGGUUCAAACUAAGAAUUUAGGCUAGCUAAGGUAUUUUCUAGGAAUUGAAGUAGCCAGAUCAACAUUUGUUUGUCUCAAAGGAAAUACACGUCUGAUUUGUUGACAGGAAUUGGAAUGUUGGUUGCUAGAACGGGGGAUAUGCCUAUGGAAGAAAUUAUUGGCUGAUUAGAGGAAGUGUUUUAAGGAUCUAGGAAUGUACAUAAGACUAGUAGGCAGGCUGAUUUGUUAGACCAUGACCAGGCGUGAUAUUUCUUUUGCAAUAAGUAUUGGGAGUCAAUUUAUGCAUGCUCCUAGGAUUUCUCACUAGGAUGUUGUUCAUAAAAUUUUAAGGUAUUUGAAGCAAGCCCUAGGGCGAGAGAUUUGAUUUAUAAGCCAAAUAAUCAUUUAACCAUUGAAUGCUACUCAGAUGCUGAUUGGAUAGGGUCACCAUCUAACAGGCGGUCUACCACAUGUCAUUGUAUAAUUAUUGGUGGAAACUUGGUAAGAUGGAGAAGCAAGAAACAAAAUUUUGUGGCGAGAUCUAAGUGUAGAGGCUGGCUAAAAAGCAAUGGCGCAUAUUACAUGUGAUUUGAUGUGGCUGAAAGCACUAUGCAUGAUAUGGGGCUUGCAAUUGCUGAAUAAGUGAAUAUGUAUUGCUAUAAUAAAGUUGCUAUCUAUAUAGCCAGUAAUCUAGUGUUUCAUGAAAGGACCCAGCAUAUUGAAGUAGAUUGCUAUUUUAUCUGAGAGAGUUACUAGUAAGCAGGUGUCUAUUCCAUAUUUGAAAUGUAAGGAUCAGUUGGCAGACAUGUUCACCUAAGGCUUUCGUCAUAAUACAUUCCAAACAAUUUUUUCCAAGCUGGGCUGGGGCAACAUUUAUGCUCCAGCUUGAGGGGGAGUGUUAAAAAUCUUUUGUUGUCUAAGUUCUAAGAUCUAAGUGUCCUAAGUCUAUUUCUAUGGGCAGUUUUGUUUAUAAAACUUUCUUUUAAAUUAUAUGUAAGUUAAGAGGUGUGUGAGGGUUUGUUUUGAACCUCGCAUCAUUCUCUUCUCUCUCACAUGUCUCGUCUUUCUCUCUCCUCUCUCUCACUUGUCUCUCGUAUCUCUAUCCUCUUUUCUUUUUCUCUUUUCUCUUUUCUCUAUUCUCUCUCUAGAUGCUCUGACACAAAGU